rnacentral:tRNA from 1 species
AAUGUGGCUCAGUGAUCAGAGCACAGGACUUGCAUGCAAGGGGCCCUGGGUUUAAUUCCCAGCAUU